CGAGAGCGGAAGAAACGUUCUGCUGUUGGUACACCUGACUAUUUGGUGCCUGAGAUUCUUUUGGGAACAGGACAUGGUGCAACAGCAGAUUGUUGGUCUGUAGGUGUCAUUUUAUUUGAAAUGAUUGUUGGAAUUCCAUCCUUCAAUGCAGAGCAUCCGCAGAUAAUAUUUGAUAAUAUUCUCAACCGUAAAAUACCUUGGCCACGGGCACCAUAAGAAAUAAGCCUGGAAGCAAAAGAUCUAAUUGAUGGACUGUCGACUGAAGAUCCUCAUCAGACUUGGAUCCAGAGGAGCAUCCGAGGUGAUAUUUAUUCUUAAUACGAGUACAACCUUUGGUUGUUUCGUGUUCCUUUUCUUUAUACUUAUGGGUGCACGCUUUUCUUAAUUGUCUGUCUUAGAUGUUUGAUUAACGAACGAUGAAAUUUUUAACCAGGUGAAGCAGCAUGUAUUUUUCAAAGAUAUCAAUUGGGACACACUUACAAGGCAGAAGGCUGCAUUUGUUCCCAGUUCAGAGAGUGCGCUUGAUACUAGUUACUUUACAAGUCGUUACUCAUGUAAUACUUCAAAUGAGCAUGCAUAUUU